UGAGUUGGUUAGACGGUUGCGGGCAGUAAUGCCUGAGGAAAGUCCGAGCCCCACAGGGCAGAAUAACGGCUAACGGCCGCCGAGGGUGACCUUAGGGAGAGUGCAACAGAGAUAUACCGCCGAAAUUUUUUCGGUAAGGGUGGAAAGGCGAGGUAAGAACUCACCGACUUCACGGGAACGUCGAAGUCCUGUAAACCCUAUUCGGAGCAACGUAAAAUGUGGCUAUACAUUUGCCCGAUGUGCCACGAAAUACGGCUAGAGCACGGAAGCAAUUCCGUGUCGAGAUAGAUGACCGUCCACGACAGAACUCGGCUUAUCGACCAACUCAUUUU
rnacentral:RNase_P_RNA from 1 species